rnacentral:ribozyme from 14 species
AAAAAAAAACUUACGAGAAGAGAAGGGAACAUAAUUGAAUUUCUGUUUCACUUUGUAUACUAUUUCUUCUACUUUUAUUGGUUGUA